GAUGAACGCUGGCGGCGUGCCUAAUACAUGCAAGUCGAGCGAACGGACGAGAAGCUUGCUUCUCUGAUGUUAGCGGCGGACGGGUGAGUAACACGUGGAUAACCUACCUAUAAGACUGGGAUAACUUCGGGAAACCGGAGCUAAUACCGGAUAAUAUUUUGAACCGCAUGGUUCAAAAGUGAAAGACGGUCUUGCUGUCACUGAUAGAUGGAUCCGCGCUGCAUUAGCUAGUUGGUAAGGUAACGGCUUACCAUGGCAACGAUGCAUAGCCGACCUGAGAGGGUGAUCGGCCACACUGGCACUGAGACACGGUCCAGACUCCUACGGGAGGCCGCAGUAGGGAAUCUUACGCAAUGGGCCAAAGCCUGACGGAGCAACACCGCGUGAGUGAUGAAGGUCUUCGGAUCGUAAAACUCUGUUAUUAGGGAAGAACAUAUGUGUAAGUACCUGUGCACAUCUUGACGGUACCUAAUCAGAAAGCCCCGGCUAACUCCGUG
rnacentral:rRNA from 1 species